rnacentral:rRNA from 1 species
UAAGGAAUAUUGGUCAAUGGACGCAAGUCUGAACCAGCCAUGCCGCGUGAAGGAUGAAGGUCCUCUGGAUUGUAAACUUCUUUUAUCUGGGACGAAAACGGGAUUUUUAUCUCAAUUGACGGUACCAGAGGAAUAAGCACCGGCUAACUCCGUGCCAGCAGCCGCGGUAAUACGGAGGGUGCGAGCGUUAUCCGGAUUUACUGGGUUUAAAGGGUGCGUAGGUGGGCUUAUAAGUCAGUGGUGAAAUCUCCGAGCUUAACUUGGAAACUGCCGUUGAUACUAUAGGUCUUGAAUUAUCUGGAGGUAAGCGGGAUAUGUCAUGUAGCGGUGAAAUGCUUAGAUAUGACAUAGAACACCAAUUGCGAAGGCAGCUUACUACAUAUAAAUUGACGCUGAGGCACGAAAGCGUGGGGAUCAAACA